rnacentral:rRNA from 1 species
CUACGUGCCAGCAGCCGCGGUAAUACGUAGGGCGCGAGCGUUGUCCGGAAUUAUUGGGCGUAAAGAGCUUGUAGGCGGUUUGUCGCGUCUGCUGUGAAAGGCCGGGGCUUAGCCCCGUGUAUUGCAGUGGGUACGGGCAGACUAGAGUGCAGUAGGGGAGACUGGAAUUCCUGGUGUAGCGGUGGAAUGCGCAGAUAUCAGGAGGAACACCGAUGGCGAAGGCAGGUCUCUGGGCUGUAACUGACGCUGAGAAGCGAAAGCAUGGGGAGCGAACAGGAUUAGAUACCCUGGUAGUCCAUGCCGUAAACGUUGGGCACUAGGUGUGGGGGACAUUCCACGUUUUCCGCGCCGUAGCUAACGCAUUAAGUGCCCCGCCUGGGGAGUACGGCCGCAAGGCUAAAACUCAAAGAAAUUGACGGGGGCCCGCACAAGCGGCGGAGCAUGCGGAUUAAUUCGAUGCAACGCGAAGAACCUUACCAAGGCUUGACAU